rnacentral:rRNA from 1 species
UACGUAGGGUCCUAGCGUUGUCCGGAAUUAUUGGGCGUAAAGAGCUCGUAGGCGGUUCGGCAAUUCUGAUGUGAAAUCUCCACGCUUAACGUGGAGGGGCCAUUCGAAAUUGCUGUGACUCGAGUCCGGUAGGGGAGUGUGGAAUUCCCGGUGUAGCGGUGAAAUGCGCAGAUAUCAGGAGGAACACCGGUGGCGAAGGCGGUUCUCUGGGCAUUACCUGACGCUGAGGAGCGAAAGUGUGGGGAGCGAACAGG